GCGGGAGUCCCAUAGUGGCAAUUGGGGCGGCUUCAGGGGCCGUUGGCUUAGUGCCUUCGCAGGUUCGAGUCCUGCCUCCCGCA
rnacentral:tRNA from 1 species